AUUGAACGCUGGCGGCAUGCCUUACACAUGCAAGUCGAACGGCAGCACGGGUGCUUGCACCUGGUGGCGAGUGGCGAACGGGUGAGUAAUACAUCGGAACAUGUCCUGUAGUGGGGGAUAGCCCGGCGAAAGCCGGAUUAAUACCGCAUACGAUCUACGGAUGAAAGCGGGGGACCUUCGGGCCUCGCGCUAUAGGGUUGGCCGAUGGCUGAUUAGCUAGUUGGUGGGUAAAGGCCUACCAAGGCGACGAUCAGUAGCUGGUCUGAGAGGACGACCAGCCACACUGGGACUGAGACACGGCCCAGACUCCUACGGGAGGCAGCAGUGGGGAAUUUUGGACAAUGGGCGAAAGCCUGAUCCAGCAAUGCCGCGUGUGUGAAGAAGGCCUUCGGGUUGUAAAGCACUUUUGUCCGGAAAGAAAUCCUUGGCUCUAAUACAGUCGGGGGAUGACGGUACCGGAAGAAUAAGCACCGGCUAACUACGUG
rnacentral:rRNA from 1 species